GACGAACGCUGGCGGCGUGCUUAACACAUGCAAGUCGAACGGAAAGGCCCUGCUUUUGUGGGGUGCUCGAGUGGCGAACGGGUGAGUAACACGUGAGUAACCUGCCCUUGACUUUGGGAUAACUUCAGGAAACUGGGGCUAAUACCGGAUAGGAGCUCCUGCUGCAUGGUGGGGGUUGGAAAGUUUCGGCGGUUGGGGAUGGACUCGCGGCUUAUCAGCUUGUUGGUGGGGUAGUGGCUUACCAAGGCUUUGACGGGUAGCCGGCCUGAGAGGGUGACCGGCCACAUUGGGACUGAGAUACGGCCAAGACUCCUACGGGAGGCAGCAGUGGGGAAUAUUGCACAAUGGGCGGAAGCCUGAUGCAGGAACGCCGGGUGCGGGAUGACGGCCUUCGGGUUGUAAACCGAUUUCGCCUGUGACGAAGCGUGAGUGACGGUAAUGGGUAAGAAGCACCGGCUAACUACGUG
rnacentral:rRNA from 1 species